rnacentral:rRNA from 1 species
GGUUCGGCCUCGGCAGCACUGCUCAGUAACACGUGGAUAACCUAACCUUAGGUGGAAGAUAACCUCGGGAAACUGAGAACAAUAUUCCAUAGAUCUAGAAUGCUGGAAUGCAUCUAGAUUAAAAGUUCCGACGCCUAAGGAUGGGUCUGCGGACUAUCAGGUUGUAGUCAGGGUAAAGACCUGACUAGCCUACGACGGAUAUGGGUUGUGAGAGCAAUAGCCCAGAGACGAUAUCUGAGACACGAUAUCGGGCCCUACGGGGCGCAGCAGGCGCGAAAUCUUCACAAUGUGCGAAAGCACGAUGAGGGGAUCCCAAGUGCUGGCACGUAAGUGUCAGCUGUUUUUUAGUCUAAAAAACUGAGAGAGUAAGAGCUGGGUAAGACGGGUGCCAGCCGCCGCGGUAAUACCUGCAGCUCGAGUGGUGGCCGCUAUUAUUGGGCCUAAAACGUCCGUAGCCUGUUUAGUAAAUGCUUGGGUAAAUUGUGUAGCUUAACUAUACGAAUACCGGGUAGACUGCUAAACUUGGGACCGGGAGAGGCUAGAGGUACUCCUGGGGUAGAGGUGAAAUUCUGUAAUCCUAGGGGGACCACCAGUGGCGAAGGCGUCUAGCUAGNACGGGUCUGACGGUGAGGGACGAAGCCCUGGGGCGCGAACCGGAUUAGAUACCCGGGUAGUCCAGGGUGUAAACGCUGCUUGCUUUGAUGUUAGUUGGG